GACGUGACUUCAGAGUUUGAUCCUGGCUCAGGACGAACGCUGGCGGCGUGCCUAACACAUGCAAGUCGAACGGGGUGAUUUCCUUCGGGGGAUCACUUAGUGGCGAACGGGUGAGUAACGCGUGAGGAACCUGCCUUCCAGUGGGGGACAACAGUUGGAAACGACUGCUAAUACCGCAUAAUGUAGCGAGACCGCAUGAUCUUGCUACCAAAGCUUUAUGUGCUGGAAGAUGGCCUCGCGUCUGAUUAGCUAGUUGGUGGGGUAACGGCCCACCAAGGCGACGAUCAGUAGCCGGUCUGAGAGGAUGAACGGCCACAUUGGGACUGAGAUACGGCCCAG
rnacentral:rRNA from 1 species